UGAGCACUUGGUUUAAGUAUUACAGAAUAAGAAUUCAAGUUCAGUUUUUUACCUGUCUUUGAAAUGUUAGUAUAACAUCUAAAUAAAGAUGUCUUGCACAUAGUUAGAACUGGAUUCAUAGUGGAAAUGAGGAAGAAAGGAUCAAGAAAUAGCUUUGGAAGGUAUCAGAAAGGUCCCAAUCAUAAUGGUAGCUAUACUUUGAUUGGUGUGGAGGAUAAAGAUGGCUAAUGAGAGUACGUUAGGUACAAAGCACCAUUAAUGGACAGAAAGAAGAAAAGGUAUUAGCAAAAUUACAUUAUUAUCCUACAACAACAUAAUUUUACCUUUGUGUAACUGCUUAUAUCUUUCAAACCAGUAAAAUCCAUUAUCUUACUUGAUACUGAAAUAGUUUGAAAUGAAGCAGGUGACUUCUUAGUACAACAUGUUAAUUUUAGAGAAACUAGCUAGUACUGUUUUUUCUAGAAACUCUGAUUAUAUUAUAAAGACAAAACCUAGAUACUUUACAUUGAAUUAUUUUGUACUUGAUUGGUAUAUUGUUAAUAUUUUUCAAAGAAAUAGCAAUUUUGUUGAACUAGAGCCAGGUCUCAAUUUUCUAUCUGGCUUUCUUUGUAGCACUAUACUCCUGUAAAACCAUCAAUGCUCAUUAAGCUGUGGAUCACUUUGGCUUUUCUUAACCUGGCUAAAGCAGUGUUAUUCACAAGUUUUAUUUCAGAGAAGAUAGAACUUUGUAAAUAACCUGAAGGCACCUUUAUAGCUACCCUUCUAUUGUCUCUGAGGGUAGGUCACAGGCUGUGAUGGGGAAGAAGAAAACAUUCCGAGGUUUGAGAAAAAGUGGUGAGAAUUUGAAUAGUUUUCUGUGGAGUGUGAGCAACUGAAUUAAUCAGAAAUGUGGUAGGAUUUCUGAAUUAAUUAGAAAGUAAAGAAUUAAAUUUUCUAGUAGUAGCUACAUUAAAAGUAAAAAGGAAAAAAGUAAAAGGAAAAAAAAAAAGACAGGCGGAUCACGAAGUCAGGAGUUCGAGACCAGCCUGACCAACAUGGUGAAACCCCGUCUCUACUAAAAAUACAAAAAUUAGCCAGGUGUGAUGCCACGUGCCUAUAACCCAGCUACUCGGGAGGCUGAGGCAGGAGAAUCCCUUGAACCCGGGAGGUAGAGGUUGCAGUGAGCCGAGAUCGCACCAUUGCACUCCAGCCUGGGUGGCAGAGCAAGAAUGUCUCAAAAAAAGAAAAAAAAGUAAAAAGAAACAAGUGAAAUUGAUUUUAAUAUCUUAUACUUAACCCAAUAAAUUAAAAAGCUAUUAUUUUAACAUAUCAAUAUAAAAAUUAAGGUAUCUUGCUUUUUAGUUUUGUACUUGAGUCUUUGAAAUCUGGUGUAUAUUGUGUGUUGACAGCAUAUCUGAAUUUGACUAGCCACAUUUCAAGUGUUCAACAGCCAUAUGUGGUUAGUAACUAUCUAUUGGACAGUGUGAGUCGAAAGUAAUUAAAAAUAAAUUUUGAACUGCAUAGACACUGUCAUCUAUUUACAUGAAUGUGUGUGUGUGUGUGUGUGUGUGCGUGUGCGUGUGCGUGUUUAGCAAUUCUUAGGGUUAAGACAAUUCAUUUGAUAGACCUGGGUUGAUGAACUCAAUGGAAGUUGAUGUGAAUAAAAAUGAAAAUGAGGGCUUGGCAUGGUGGUCCAUGCCUGUAAUCCCAGCACUUUGGGAGGCCAAGGCAGACAGAUCACCCAAGGUUGGGAGUUCAAGACCAGCCUGGCCAACAUGGUGAAACCCUGUCUCUACUAAAAAAAAAUACAAAAAUUAGCUAGGCCUGGUGGGAGGCACCUGUAAUCCCAGCUACUUGGGAGGCUGAAGCAGGAGAAUUGCUUGGGCCUGGGAAGCGGAGGUUGCAAAUGAGCCAAGAUUGCACCACUACACUCCAGCUUGGGUGACAAAGCAAGACUCUGUCUCAAAAAAAAAAAAAAAAGUGAGAUUGAGUUCAAAGGGAAGUCAUUGCAAGGAGACAGUGCCAGUACUAAACUUAAUACCUCCAUCCUGUAUAGACACAUCCACCUUGUUGAAUGGAAAGCUGGCCUCUUACUACCCUUCAGCUACUUUAUUUUUUCUGAUGACUUGUAAUAAAUACCGUCUAACUGGAAGUCAGUGUGUUACAAUUAGAAUGUGAGGAUUAGAAGAAACGAAUAUAGGUAAGACUAGGAAAAAAUAAUAGGUUAGAGUGAUAAAGUAAAAAUUUUAAGAAUACAUGCAAUAGUAUAAAAAUCAAAAGAUAUAAAAAGAUUAUAUAUCAAAUACAAAGCUCUUAUCCUCUAGCCAUCUGAUUCCCUUCCUUGGGCGUAACCAGAAUAGUUUCUUAUGUCCUACUUAUCUUUUAGGAGUAGCCAGUGCAUUUACAAGUGUAUACAUACUUUUUUGUCUUUCCUUGAAUAAACCAGUAAAAUGCUUAUAUCCUUUUGAAAAUAUACAAAAGGUAGCAUACAGCACACACCAUUUUACAUAUUGCUUCCCACCCCCCGCCUUAAUCUAUCUUGGAGUUGCUUUGUUGUUUUUAAAGUCUAUAUAAUAUUUCAUUGUAUGGAUGUACCAUAAUUUAUGUAACCAGUUUGUUAUUGAUGGUUAUUUAAAUUGUUUUCAAUAUUAUGCCCUUACAAUCAAUACUGUAAUGAAUAUCUUUGGGUAUAUCUGUUGAACACAUAUGUGAAUUAUGUGGAAUAAAUUCUCAUAGGUAGAAUUUCUUGUUCAAAAGGUUUUUUUUUUUAAAAUUGUAUAAAUAUUGCCAAAUGCAACAGAGGUUUUUACCAGUUAACACUUCCAACUAGUAAUGUGUGAAUACACUUUUUCUUAAAUAAAACUGAUUCUACAAACCGAGUCUUAGGAGAAAAUAAAAUUUAUAAAUAAUAAAAUUUUUAUUGUGCUGUUGACUUGAAGAGGCAUAGAUAACCCUCUUUUGUCUUGACAUGAUCAUUUUGAGCAACCUCAGAGGAACCCCUAGAGUUGGAGAGGCAUAGACUGAAAAUGCUGAUAACCAGCUCCCUUUAUUUUAUGUAUGAAGAAGAGAGCGCUGAAGGAUGAAGCUGUUCCUUCAAGGCCACCCAAAAAAACAGAAAAACAUGUACCAUAGAACCCUCAGAUAGGAAUAGGAAUGGCUUGGAAAUGUAAGCAGAAGUGUUUUGUGCAACAGGUAAACCCCAAUUAAUUACUUUUUGAGAAUCAAACCUUUUUAAAAUAACAUUUGCUGUUUGAUUUUGUUUUAGUAAGCUUCAUGGUUAGUGGAGCCUUGGCAGCCUAAGGGAUCCUUGGAGUAGAAAAGGGAAUUUGGUGGUCAGAGACAAGUAAGGGAGGAAGUCCUGCCUUCAUGUUUCUGACAUGGUGACGACUGAUAUGAAGAGCAAAAGGGGCAAAGACUAGCAGAAGAGAAUGAGGAGGUGGAGGGGCAAAAGGAUCUCAAGUACCUACCCAGUGCCUGGUGCAUGGUGGCUGCUCAGUAAUGCUAGUUCCUUACUGGUGGAAGUAUGGACUGGUCUAACCAUUUUGAAGGUUGGUACUAAAUCAGAUUAUGCAUUAUGUAUACCUUGUAACCCAGCAACUUUUUUCCUGUAUAUAUAUGUGAAAGAAGUUCUCACACAGGUUCAUAAGGGGUCAUUCAUUUUAGUGUAUUUGUUCUUGUGGAAAGUAAUUUGUUGUCCAUACCCUUUCCCCAGUGAUGGGUAAAAUGUGAUCAUAGAUUUAUACCUCAGUUUGAAGUAAUGGUCUAGAUAUGCACAUGGCAGCCUAAGGAUCUUAGAGACAUAGUGCUGAGUAACAACAGAAAGAAAAGGAAUGAGAUAUUUAACACAGUCGCAUUUGUAUACAUUUUAAAAUGUAUGUAAGUAAAACAUAUUACAUACUUUACAAGAAAACAUGUUAACACAUUAAACACAUUAUAGUGAUUGCCUAUGUUGUGGAUGAUAGGAGUGGAAUAAAAGAGAAUAAGCAAAUAAGAGUAAAAAUACACAAAUGUGAAACUUCAUUUCUGUGUUGAGGUGAUCUUUAAAGCAUCUGUUGGAUAAUUAGGAGGACACCUACAGAUCAGUACCCUGUGUCUCCCAUUCUCCCAUUGUGGUUACCUUUGGGAGUAAAAUUUCUGGUAACGAAUUACCAUUGGAAUAUUUUUUGUUGCUAAUUUAACUGAAAGUAAAUCAGAUUCACGGUUGUCAAUUUUUUUGCCUUUAAAAGGGGAAAAAAAAAGGAAUCCCCUGUCCUUCACUUUUUCUGUUACUGUGUGUUCUGUUGGAUUGUUGCUUAAAUACAAAAUACUAACCUUAUGCCUAAUUUAGGUACUACGUGUAUACCAGCACUACAUGAUAUCAUUCUUAGAAGAUAAUACUUAGUGACAUUAAUAAUUCAUUGGGAGACUUCUCCAUGUUCUUUUAGAUAAUUGCCUUUUCUGAUUAAAGCUUGGAAUACCAAUAGUUGGAAUAAAGCAGUCACUUCUUUGAUCUGGUACCCAUUAUAAAAUUUAUGUUAUUUAUCUUGCUUUUUUUUUUUUUUUACAAGAAUCUCUGCUUAUGGCAGAUAAAAAUACUGACUGACUUCCAGAGAGUUCCCUGAGAUACCAGGUAAGAUCUUGGAUAGAAUAGAGUGUAGGAAACAAACAGUUCCUAUCGUAAGCAAUUUUUGUUGCUAGAACAAAAUCCUUUUGUAGGUCAUGAACUUUUGAGUAGCCGGAGUUUUGAGUUAGCCUCAAUUAAGGUUUUUGGUUGUUUUACCACCCAGGCUCCAGAUUAUCAACUGGAGACAGGAGCUGUGAUGGAAUUAAAGUAACCGUGGCAACCAUUAUAAUGUAAAUGAGCCUUCUUGGGAAGGAAGUUGAGAGCGUGAGCACUUGUUAGGCAUUCCUUUAUUACUUCUACAACUAGAGCUGAGUAGUAUUUUGCUAUUUUAAAAUCCUGCUCCUUGGACACCAUCAAGUCCUGUGUUAUUCCAACCUUCUUUUAGUUUUCUGAGAAACUAACACCAAACUAAUGUGUAUAUAAAAUACGAAAUGAAUCUCUGGUGUGCUUAUCCUCCUUCAUUCACAUUAAGACCUCUUCUUCCUUUAAUAACAUUACCUUUUUCCCACUGCUUCUGGCAAUAACACUCAGCACCAAGUCUCUGAUAAACAAAGAAGGCCACUUAGGUUUUGAGAGAUGUCGUGUGUACCUAGUAUACUCUGAUGGCCAAGAUUUGGCUUAUGGUGGAACAAGUGGUGCCAGGGCCACUUCUUAAGCAGCACAAGAGCGGCAAAUCUUUGGUCUCAAAUCUUAAUUUUUUAUAUUAGUCUUUAAAAUUUUUAAUUAUUUAAAAAUUUUUUUCAAUAAGUCUUUUGUACUCCUAACCUUUGAAUUUCAAGUCAUAAGAUUGUAAGUUUUAGAGUAUUAAUGUUGGCUUACUGUUUGUGGAUUUAGAGAUUGGAUGACUGGAGGAGAAUAAUAAAAGUGAAACUGAAGUAAUUACCAAAGUGAGGUUGAGUUCUAAGUUAAGUACUGUACUUGUUUACUACCCCACAAUGAGUCCAGUGAUUUUAACAACAAGGCUUGUAAGGAGAAGCUCAAGGUUAACUAUUGUUAUGAUGUUGGUGCUAGGAAAAUAACUUCCCUCAACCUCAGUUUUUCUCUUUGUAAAGGAAGAGUGAAAACGACGACUCACUCUGUUGUGGGGAAAUAUUUACAAAAGGAAAUAAAAUUUAACUAGUAGUAUGGUCAAGAAUGUCAGCUGAGGUUGGCCAGGCAAGGUAGCUCACAUCUGUAAUUCCAGUGCUUUGGGAGGUUGAGGCAGGCAGAUCAUCUGAGGUCAGGAGUUCAAGGCCAGCCUGGCCAACAUGGUGAAACCCUGUCUUUGCUAAAAAUACAAAACUAGCUGGGCAUGGUGGCAUGUGCCUGUAAUCCCAGCUACUUGGGAGACUGAGGCAGGAGAAUCGCUUGAACCCAGGAGGCGGAGGUUGCAGUGAGCCGAGAUCAUGCCUUUGCCCUCCAGCCUGGGCAACGUGAGUGAAACUCCGUCUCAAAAAAAAAAAAAAAAAAGCGAUAUAAGACAAAUUCUGAAUUUUAAGGUAAUGUGCCUUAGUUAUGCCUGCUUAGCUUGUGCCAGUUAAGGCUUUUUACUUUGAUUUUAAGUUUCCUUCCUCCUACUUCAUCCUUUUGUUGAGUUGUCAUUCAGAUCACAACAGAUACUCUUGUAUAACUGUCUUUGUUGGCCUAGUCUUCAGCAGGUAGGUUGAUCUUGGACUUCAAAUAUUUGAGCAUUUAUUAUAUGCAAAGCUUGGAACUGGGUGCAUAGGGAAUAAAUAUAAAAUGUAUACAAGUGUGAUUCCUGCCCUUCAAUAUACAAUCAUUCAAAUACUUGUAGACAGUUCUGCUCUUACUUUUCCUACCCCAGAUAGUCUCUUCUCUAUGGAAAUCAUUCCUGCUUCUCUUUAUCAUUCUUCAUAUGAUGUAGUCGUCCAGGCCAUUACUACAUCCUGGCUAUCAGCAUCACUUGUAAGAGGUCAUAUUUCAAAUUAUAAUUCCCAGGGUGUUGCUUGACCUGUUUCGAUUUUCUUCCUUGUUCAGGUCACUGUACUGUUAUUUUAUUACCUAUGAAUUUGUAUUAACUUUUAAGCUGUCAGUUCAGGACAAAGGCCCACCUUGAGCUUACAGUCAAUUGAACUCUCAUCAACACAUAUUAAAAUUGGUUUCAAUUUUUUUUUUUUUUUUUUUUUUUUUUGAGACGGAGUCUUGCCCUGUCACCCAGGCUGGAGUGCAGUGGCACGAUCUCAGCUCACCGCAACCUCCGCCUCCUGGGUUCAAGCGAUUCUCCUGCCUCGGCCUCCCGAGUAGCUGGGAUUACAGGCGUACGCCACCACCCUCGGCUAAUUUUUUGUAUCUUUAGUAGAGACAGUGUUUCACGAUGUUGGCCAAGCUGGUCUCGAACUCCUGACCUUAAGUGAUCCACCCACCUCGGCCUCCCAAAGUGCUGGGAUUACAGGUGUGAGCCACUGUACCUGGCCUGAAAUGGAUUUCUUAUUCGCUGUAUACUUCUAAAAAAAUAAAUGCAUGUAUAUUUACCCUUGAUAAAUUUUAUUUUGUAUUUUCAGCACAUUGUUUCUAUAUGUUCAGAUAUUUGAUCUUUUAUAAUCUUUAAUGGUAUCUUUUAUAUCUUUAAUGGUAUUAUUUAAUCUUUAUAGAUAGGUUUAGAUCACCAGAAAAUUUAUAAGCUACCAUUUAAAUCUUCACAAUAUUGAUAAACAUCUACUAAGAUAAGGCCAAAUAGAGAGUUCUGUGGCAACUGUUAGUUACUUCUGUCCAGAUUUACAUUAACAAUUGAUUAAUAAUCUUAGAAUGGUUGUUCAACCAAUUGUAAAUCUAUCACUUAACUAGCAUAAGAAAGUUAAUCUUGAUUUCAGCAAUAUGUAUUGGACCUACUUUAUGUUAUUUCUCUGAUUUCUUAGUCUAAUACUUUUGUCAAAAGUAAAAUGAGGUUAGCAUGAUUGUUUUUCUUGGUGAACCCCAUUGUGACUUACCGUGUUCUCUGUACCCCUUCCCUACCCCACCAUAGGCUAACAUAGGAAAUCUUUGUUAAACCCUUAAUCUGUGAUUUCAAGUCUCUUUUUUUCCUUUGAAAUUGAGAAAAUUAAAAUUGAACUUUAUUGUUUCUAGUCUUCUAGCUUCUCUUCCAUUUUUCAUGAGAGAUCAUGGAGAUCUUAGGCUGUAAUUUAUCUGGUUCUAGAUAUUUGCAUUUACUAAAAGCUACUGGGUGCUCUCUUAUUAUCUUUUCUCCUAUUUCAGGCUUCAGUUUCCUCUUAACCAUUUGCAUUCUCUUUUCAGUAUGGAAAGUUACUCUGGAUAAAGAAAAUGCAAGCAAAAUAAAAGUUGAAUAAGUUCUAUUUUCUGUAUUAUUUUUUAACAUGGUAGAAGGGCCUGUCUCAUAUUUUUCAUAUAACAUCACUGAAAAAAGACUAUAUGUUUGCACUUUUCAUAAACUUAUAUUGAUAUUCUGUUAGGUGCCAGGCACUGCAUUAGAUUCUUGGGCUCCAAAUAUAAAUAAGAUAUGGUCUCUGUUCUCAAGGAGGUCACAGUAUAAUUGGAGAGAUACAUAUUUAUAUAAAUAUUUACUGUAUAGCAAGAGCCGCUGGCCAGGAUCAGAAAACACACUUUGAGGGUUAGAAAAAUAAGACAGGAAUUUAUGCUGAAUGAGGUGGCGAAAUGUACAUUUUCAAUAAGCUAUAGGAGGAGUCAUGAAUAUUUAUGAAAGGAGAAACAUGUACAUGCACAGUUGAGCUUCUUACCCCUUUAUGGGUUGCAUAUACAGAGAAAAGGUAUUAGCAUGGUCCAUGGGUGGAGUUUUUGAGCCUCUGGCCUCAAAAGGUGAAGCAGAGGACAUGAAAAGCCUCACUGCGCGUCCUCUGUAGACUGGCCAGAACCACUCCGUGGUUGGUGGUCUCCUAUUAGGAAGGAAUGCUGGUUGGUGGUUGUGAGGAAACCACAAAAAAGAGGGGCAAUGUCAGGAGGUUGGUUUAUAUUAGCAGUGGAGCAAGUAAAAAGGCUGGUUUCUGUUUAACCCUUAGGAAAGAAGCCUAAUGGUGGGCAGCAAGGGAUGGGUAUAAUGACGUGUAUCUGACCUUUCACCUGGUCAUGGCUGGGAACUCAGAUUUCAAGGUUUCUCUGGGGUCUCCUUGGCCAAGAGAUGGUCACUUCAGUCAGUUGGCGGGCUUAGAAUUUUAUUUCUCAGGAGGAACAACAUUCCUUUUUAUGAAGAAUAACAUAUAAUAAGUUGACAUGAAAACGGAGGGUAAAGGCUGACCUGAUGUGUUUAGAAAUCUUAAAAUAAUCCAGGAUGGUUGGAAUAUGGAAUAGGAGUCCCAAGAAAUGAGGCUGGAGGUGGGACCAUAACAGAAAGGGCCUUAUAUUCUUUGUUAGAAUUUGGACUCCAGGAGGCACAGGAGUAUCACUGAAUCGUUUUAAGCUGGGGUGUGAUCAAAACCAAGUCUGUCUAGUCCUUCCUUAUGACAUACUAUAUAACUAAGUUUAGUCUAAGUUAUGUUGUGGUAACAAAUAGUCCCCAUAUUUUAGUGGCUUACAAUAACAAGGAUUUAUUUUUUGCUCAUACUACAUGUCCAUUAUGUAGCUUUGUUCCAAGACUUAGGCUAGAUGCUCCUAUCUGAGACAUUUUCUCUUGUAUUAGAGAGAAAUAAGGCAUGGUAUAACCACACCAUUGCUCUGAAAGUUUCUGUUCAGAAGUGGGACAUGUCAUUUCCUCUUACUUCACAGCGUCACUGGCUAAAGCAAGUCACGUGGCCAAACUUGAUAUCAACUGGACCGGUUGUCUAAUUCUCCACCAGGAAGGAGCAGUGAUUUUUGAAUAAUAAUGGCAUCUAUUUACAUGUGUCAAAUUUUAUUUCUUUGCUUUCCGGGAUUACCUGGGAGCAUCUGGUGACUGUGUUCCCAGUGACUUGAAGUAGCUUGAGGGAAUAAAGCUAGUUGUAGGCAGAGAAAUGAGAGACAAGAAAAUGUCCUGGCAGCUUUAGUUUGUUUCUCUUCUCCCUGGGGCUGUCCUGGUUCCUAAAAUUUUCCUUUGCGUCUGUAAGCUAAUAGGAGAGUGUCAUGAUCAGAUGUGCAUUUUAGCAAGAUUACUUCAGAUGCAAUAUGGAGAAGGGGAAGAAUGCAUUCGAGUAAAAGCAGGAAGAACAGUUAGUGCCUUGUGUAGAAAGAAUGAUUAGUAAACUGUUUCUGAUAUAGAAGGACAAACUAAGGGCCUGGAAAUAGAAAUGUAGGAUUCUUUUAGAGUUACCUCAGAGUCCUGGCUAUUGUGGGGAGAAAUAAAAGAGAAGGAAGAGAAUUAUGUCCAGGUAAGGCAUUUGAGUGGAUGCUGGUGCCAUUCACCAACGUAAGGGGUAAAACAGGUCAGAGGAGAAGAUAUUUUAUUUUAUUUUUAUUUUUAUUUUUUUGAGACGGAGUCGUGCUCUGUCGCCUAGGCUGGAGUGCAGUGGCGCCAUCUCAGCUCACUGCAAGCUCCACCUCCCGGGUUCAUGCCAUUCUCCUGCUUCAGCCUCCUGAGUAGCUGGGACUACAGGCACCCGCCACCAUGCCUGGCUAAUUUUUGGUAUUUUUAGUAGAGAUGGGAUUUCACCGCGUUAGCCAGGAUGGUCUCGAUCUCCUGACCUUGUGAUCCACCCGCCUCAGCCUCCCGAAGUGCUGGGAUUACAGGUGUAAGCCACCGUGCCUGGCCAGGAGAAGAUAUUUUAGACGUUGAGUUUGAAGUAUCUGUGGAACAUCUAAGUGGAAAUGACUAGUAGGCAAAUUGGAUAAACUGGUAUCGAGCUCACGGGAUGUAAAGAGUGUUAUUAAAAUGAUGGUUCAUGGAAUGUAAGGAUAAGAAAUCAUGCAUAAGAAGGAAAGGAGAAAAGGAGAUGACCGAGAGAUUGAAGUAAAAGAAUUAGUGAGCUAAAGUCUGUGAAAUUAUGGUAGAGAAAAUUAAACAAGCAAGCUAAAAAGAAGUCAGAGAACAGGAUACCCAAAUUAGCCAUUAUGGAGGUGGAACAGUUUCUAGUGGUGAUAAGGUCUGGAGUAACCUUGGUUGUGCUUAGCUGAGUUAGAAUGGAGCAGAACGUCAUUGGAGAUGACAUCAAGGAACUCGAAGGCUAAGGUCUUUAUGGGCUACCCACGUGGAUUGUUGCUUGUUCAGUGUGACAGAGACUCCUAGUUGUCUACUCAAUAUUCAGUUUCUACUUCUUCCUUAUUAGCAGAACGCUAGGCAAUAUGCAUUGGAAAAACUAUACAUAGAAUUAAAUUCAACUGCAUGUAACAGUAACCCCCAAUAACAAUGCCUUAUAUUGUAUAUGGGUUUAUUUUUAUUAAAAAAUCAGCUUCGUUUUACAUCUUUUACAGAAUUUAUGGUAUUUAUUAGAUUCCAACUUGAGCAAGUUAUAUACAUGAUUUAUUAAAUCUGGUCAAUUGUAAUCCAGAAUGUAUGUACUGUGUUUUAUUUAUAAAGAAAUAUAGAGAUAAACAUUUACAAGAUUGGUAUGAUGGCUUCUCCACAGGGAUUAGAGACCCAGACUCCUGUCAUUUUUCUUUCCAUUGUUCCUAGUAUGCUGCUUCCAUCAUUAGGGAUGCUUUCAUGGCUUAAGAUGACUGCUGGAGCUCAGGGCAUUAUUUCAAUAUUAUAUGAAGCAAGAAGGAGGAAGGGGGAAAAGGCAAAAAGGGCAUCCCAGAAGCCCCACCCAACAACUUCUGCUUACAUUUCAUCUGAUAAACUCAGGUUGAUGGUGGGAUUUAGGAUGACUAGAAUCUGAGAGAAGAAUUUGAUAGAUGGCAGUAACUAGGGAAAGAGAUGAGAGAGUUGAAUGGCAUGACCUUAAAGGGGCUGCUUUUUUAUAAGAGAGUGAAGAAGUAGUAUUCUGGCAGAGUGUGGCAAGUGCAGAGGUUCUGAGGGGGUGUGUGUGGGUGAAGGAAGUUUAUCAGACAUUUUUCAGGAGUUAGCAAGGAGGCACGUGCAGCUGGAGUAGAGUAAUAAGCAAGGGGGGGAGUUGUGGAGAUAAGGCUGGCAGGUAACGAGCCAGUGUCGUGUAUGGUGUUAAUAGGUCAUAUUCAGGAUUAUGCUUUAACUUUUGCUUUAAAUCAGAUAGAAAACCAUUGGAAGGUUUUGAGCAAAGAAUGACAGGAUCAUAUUUAAAUUUUGAAAAGAUCGCUCUGGCUGUAGGGUUGAGAAUAGACUGAAGGGGUCAGGAGACCAGUUAGGAGGUUACUGCAAUAACUAGAGAAGAGACGAUAGUAGUUUGGAGCAGAUAAUAGCGGUGAAGAUGACAGAAGUGGCCAGAUUCUGUAUAUAUCUUAGUAGAGUGAGAAAGAUACGCUAAUAUAUUUGAUGAGUGUUUGAAAGAGAAAAGUUUUGGAUGACUUCAAAGUCUUUGUCCAGAACAACUGUAAGUACAAAAGCAAUAGGGAGAAGUUGUCCAAAAUGAGGAUAACUGUAUUGGUACAGUGACCUUUUGUAGGUGUAGUCAGUGUCUUCUUGUUUUAGUAUAUUCCUGUUUCUUGUCUCUUUUUCUUUCUUCUCAGUGCACAUUUAACUAGUUUUCAAUACAUUCACUAUUUUGCUCAGCCAACGAAUGACUGUUAACAAUUACAAAGUUGUUUCAGCCUUUAUCGGUUAGGCUUCUUUGGUUGCAAAACAAACCAAAAUUGACUUUGUUCAGUUGACUUAAGCAAAAAAGGUAGUAGAUGGAUGAGAAGGAGGGAGUGGAAAGGAGAAUGGAGGUAAGUCACAGAAUAAGGAAAUGCUAAAGAAUUACACCUUGGGGCUGGGCGUGGUGGCUCAUGCCUGUAAUCCCAGUUACUCUGGAGGCUGAGUCAGGAGAAUGGCUUGAACCCAGGAGGCAGAGAGGUUGCAGUGGGCUGAGAUCUCGCAAUUGCACUCCAGCCUGGGCAACAAGGGUGAAACUCCGUCCCCGGCCAAAAAAAAAAAUUACACCUCGGGAGAACCCUGAACUAAACUAUCUCACUGAGAUCUAGGUAGCAUAAUGGACAUGAUGGUUUUUAUCAGGAUAAUGUCAUCUGGACAAAUCACUCAUAUCAUUGAGUAUCUAAUUUGAUAAUGGUAGUGAGCUAGAUACUGGGGGCGGGGAAUAGGAGGGGCAAUCCAAAGCUGAAUAAAAUAUAGUACAUACCUUUGGAGGGUUAUAAUAGAGUAGAAUUAAUAAAUCAUGUCUAUCACUUAUUCAAAUUAGAACAUAAUACAUACCAUAAAUGCUACAAAAGAUAUUAAACAAAGAUGAUUAGAUGAUUUUAUAUGACUAACCAUAGCAAUAUUUAACAUUUUAGAUACAAAUAGAUUUUAAAGGAAAGAUAAGAAAAUGUCAGAUAAAUUUUUUUUUUGCCCACUAAACGCAAAAUAUUUAUGUUGUGGAGACACAGUAAAUUAUGAUACAUUCAUAGAGCGUAAUACUAAGCAGCCAUCAGAAAUGAUGUUGCACAAGUAUGCCUAAUGAGAAGGGGAAAUGAUCAUUUUGUUUUAAGUGGAAACAAAAAACAGAUUAUGAAAUCACGCAAAUAGAAAAUCUGAAAUUUAACAUGAGUGGGGGGUGUGUAUGUAUGAGAGAGAGAGUAGAACACCCUCCAAGUUAUUGAGUUCACUCAAGAGAUGUGUGUGUGUGUGUGUGUGUGUGUCUGUGUACACCCUCCAAUUUGUUGAGUUCACUCAAGCCUUGUUAGGUAUUUUUUUUGAGACAGUUUCACUCUUGUCACCCAGGCUGGAGUGCAGUGGCGUGAUCUCAGCUCACUGCAAACUCCACCUCCCAGGUUCAAGCAAGUCGCCUGCCUCAGCCUCCCUAGUAGCUGGGAUUACAGGUGCCUGCCACCAUGCCUGGCUAAGUUUUGUAUUUUUAGUAGAGACAGGGUUUCUCCAUGUUGUCCAAGCUGGUCUCGAACUCCUGACCUCAAGUGAUCCGCCCACCUUGGCCUCCCAAGGUGCUGGGAUUACAAGCGUGAGCCACCAUGCCUGGCCCCAAGUCUUAUUAGAUUUGAAUGUUAGUGUGAAUAGUAUAUUGGAGGUGGAGGUGAGGCUAGUAUUGAAAGUGAAGAGAGAAUAGUCAGGCUAUUGUAAUUAUCUAAGUAAGAGAGGAUAAGGGCCUGACCCUAAGAUAGGAAGUAGAAAAGAGAGAAUCUUGUGGGAGAGAUGUUAAGAUGAUGGAAUUGAUAGAAUUUGGUGACUGACUUCUGUAUGUGUGUGGGAGUGGAUGCUCUGUGUGAUAACAGAGAAGGAUGAGUUUCUAGUCUUAUAUGAUUGGAUAAAUGGUCAUACUCCUAUUUAUUUAACAGUACCUAUAAAAUGGGAGUAGAAAGCUCUGCAAAUGGCAUAGGAUCUGUUGUAAGAAAAAGGAGGAUGAGGGGAAAUAUUGAGAGAGAGCGAGGAAAGUGAGGAAUUUCUUUUGAAGACUUUUUGGACAAACUUGCUAUUUUAGUUCACUCCCUUUUUACUCCUAGUUCUACUAGGAGUAAACGUAGUAGUUUAAACUAGUAAUUAGUAAUUUAGUAAAUUUAAACUGAUAAUUUCCAAGUCUGAAUUUUAAUAGUCAUGACUGAUUUUUAAGCCUCUGUGUUAUCUUGAGGAUCUUGUUUUUACCAGUUAUACCUUAAAGAAGCUCAGCUUUGAAAGAGCUUUGUGACAUAACCAGGUUUUGGAAAGAUCAAGGUAUGAAAAUGCUGUAACUUUGAAGGCAGCAUUAGGGAGUCUGUUUGUACUUUCUUUUUUUGUUUUUGUUUUUUGAGACGGAGUCUUGCUCUGUUGCCCAGGCUGGAGUGCAGUGGCAUGAUCUCGGCUCAUCACAACCUCCACCUCCCAGAUUCAAGUGAUUCUCCUGCCUCAACCUCCUGAGUAGCUGGGACUACAGGCACGGGCCACCAUACCUGACUAAUUUUUGUAUUUUUUUAGUAGAGAUGAGGUUUCACUAUGUUGGCCAGGCCGGUCUAAGUCCAGAUCCUGACCUUAGGAUCCACCUGCCUCAGCCUCCCAAAGUGUUGGGAUUAUAGGCAUGAGCCACUGCACCCGGCCGCGUGUGCUUUCUUGGAAACAACAUUAAUGCUGUGGUUGAAUCUUUCCUUUGUCUAAACAAACCAAAAGUAAGACUUGAAGGCUGCUUGGUGGGCUGAAUUUCUCUUUUGGUAGAAUGUUUUAGCUUUUUGGAAAUAAAUAGACAUCUUUACUUUUUAAAAAUAACUUUAUUGAGAUAUAAUUUCAUACUACAAAGUUCACUCAUUUAAAGCAUACAAUUCAGUGAGUGAUUUUUUUCAUAUUUACAGAGUGUAUAACCAUUACUGUAAUUUAAUUUUGGAACAUUUUCUUCAUCCCAGAAAGAAACCUUGUAGUAAUCAUUCCCUAGGCAACCACGAAUCUAUUUUCUCUCUCUGGACAUUUCAUAUAAUUUGCCUAUUCUGGACAUUUCAUAUAAUUUGCCUAUUCUGGACAUUUCAUAUAAAUGGGAUCAUAACCAUAUGUGUAGACCUUUUGGCUUUCAAAGUUUCUUUUUUUCCUAAAUGAUUCCUGGGUUUUUUUUUUUACUUACUCUAUUGCGCAGUCUGAAGUGUGGUGGCAUGAUGAUGGCCCAGUGCAGCCUCAACCUCCCAGGCUCAAGCCAUCCUCCCACAUCAGCCUACUGAGUCCUACUGGGAGCACCAUGGUGUGCACCACCACGCCUAAUUUUUUUUUUUUUUUUUUUUUUUUUGAGACAGAGUCUUGCUCUAUUGGCCAGGUUGGAGUGUAGUGGCGCAAUUUCAGCUCACUGCAACCUCCGCCUCCUGGGUUCAAGUGAUUCUCCUGCCUCAGCCCCCCAGGUAGCUGGGAUUACAGGCACGCAUCACCAUGCCCGGCUAAUUUUUUUUUAUUUUGAGUAGAGACGGGGUUUCACCAUGCUAACCAGGCUGGUCUUGAACUCCUGGGCUUGUGAUUAACCCACCUCAACCUCUCAAAAUGUUGGGAUUAUAGGCGUGAGCCGCUGCACCUGUUUUUUUUUUGUUUUUUUUUUUAAUAGAGAUGGGGGUCCCACUAUGUUGCCUAGGCUUGUCUUGAACUCCUAGGCUCAAGUGGCCCUACUGCCUCAGCCUCUCAAAGUGUAGCCACCAUGUCCAGCCCUAAAUGAGUUCUUUUUGUGUUCCAUAAUUUUUAGAGUUCACCUUAAAUUUUACAGUGUCUAUAGAUUGAUAAAUUUGCUUGAUACUUAAUUCAUGCUUAUAUCCUUCUUAUUAAAUGCAUAAUAUAUGUCAAAUAAAUAAUUUUUAAUGGAUUUUUUAUGGACAUUAAAAUAUCUUCUUUAUUGAUAUUGUUCCAGUGUCUGACUUUCAUUUAUAAUUUCUUAUUACCAUUUUUGCUCCUAUCUACUACUCACUUUCUAGCUAAAGUGUUUAUACUUACAGUAGGCCGGGCGCGGUGGCUCAAGCCUGUAAUCCCAGCACUUUGGGAGGCCAAGGCGGGCGGAUCACGAGGUCAGGAGAUCGAGACCAUCCUGGCUAACACGGUGAAACCCCGUCUCUACUAAAAAUACAAAAAAAUUAGCCGGGCAUGUUGGCGGGCGCCUGUAGUCCCAGCUACUCGGGAGGCUGAGGCAGGAGAAUGGCGUGAACCCGGGAGGCGGAGCUUGCAGUGGGCCGAGAUCGCGCCACUGCACUCCAGCCUGGGGGACAGAGAAAGACUCCGCCUCAAAAAAAAAAAAAAAAAAAAAAAAAAAAAAAAAAGUGUUUAUACUUACAGUAAUGGAAAGUUUUUGACUCAGGCCUUCCUUAUUCCUGCAGAUUAUUUAAUUUUACAGUGUUUGGUAGAAGCAAGGUCAAAAGUUUACUGAAAAGAAAAGCCCAUUAGGAGACUAUUAGGUAUAUCUUAAUAUUUCCUUUCUCAGUUCCUUUAGAUCCUUCCUCAUUGUAUUAUCUGGGUCACACUGGUUGAGGGAUUCUACCUUCCUAAUGUAAUGUCAAUUGUGUUUAGAACUGCUUUGACAUACAUACCUGCUUGAUCGGUGUCCUCUUCCAUUAGUCACCAGAGUACAGAGAUACUCAGUUCCAAUGGUAAAAAUAGUAUACAUUCCUUUAGUUAGAAUCUUCUUAGUGCAAAUAACCUUGGACCUAUGAGUCCUGUCCAUGAUAAAAGGCAGAACAUUUUUCACUUUUUUCUUUGAGUUUCUCUUCCUGUGACCUCCCCUCCUUGUUAUAUGUUUUACAUUUGACAAAGGGGGAAAGAACACUCAAGAUUCCUAGUCAUAUGCCAGAUAAAUAUAUAAUAGACAUUAUUUUAAAUCUAUAGCUGAGCUUGUGAAAAAGUAAGGAAAAUCCUUAGGGGCAAAAAAAUGAUGAGGGCAUUGAAAAUCAGUGUUAAGUACAUAAGCUAAAGCUACGGCUGCUCUGGGUGACUAAGAGACUUAGUUUUAACAACCACAUGGGAAUAAGAGACUUUUUUACUCCCCUGCAGAAAGCUAAGUUCCUCAAAGGGUUUCCACAUUACUGAAAAGAUGAUUUAGAAAAAACAUUUGCCCCAUGGCAUAGAGAGAUGUCAAGGAAGUUUGUCCACUCUGUGUGGGCUUUAGGUGAGAAAGGUUUCUCUGAGAAUUUGUUACCUGGGCUUGUCUUCACAUAGGUUCAGUUUAGAAUGUUCCUCUUUUUCUGCAGUCCAGGAAACCCAAAGCCAAGAAAUUAACAUAUAAAGUAGUCUUGAAUCUGCAACAGUCCUAUGGCAUCAGGCUGAAGCAAGUGCAAAACUUCUCUAUAGGGAUAUCCUCAAUCUAGGCCACACCAAAUCUCACAGCUAAAGGUGCUCUAAAAAAAAAAGUUUUGGCCGGGCGCGGUGGCUCAUGCCUGUAAUCCCAGCACUUUGGGAGUCCGAGGCGGGCGGAUCACGAGGUCAGGAGAUCGAGACCAUCCUGGCUAACACGGUGAAACCCCGUCUCUACUAAAAAUACAAAAAAUUAGCCGAGCGUGGUGGUGAGCGCCUGUAGUCCCAGCUACUUGGGAGGCUAAGGCAGAAGAAUGGCGUGAACCCAGGAGGUGGAGCUUGCAGUGAGCCGAGAUGGUGCCACUGCACUCCAGCCUGGGCAACAGAGCGAGACUCUGUCUCCAAAAAAAAAAUGAAGAGUUUUAAAAUAGACCUUCAAAAAAUAUAGUCACUGAAACUUAAAAUUUGGUGGACAACAUCAGCGGUAGAAUGGAUACAUUAUGGUAUAUUCAUACAACGGAAUGCUAUUAAGCAAUGGAAAUGAAUAAAUUGCUGCUAUGCAUAAGAUCAUGGCUGAAUACCGAUAAUGUUGAAGGAAGAAAGCCAGAUGUAAAAUAAUAUAUGCUAUGUAAUUUUAUUUAUAUAAAGCUAAAAACUUGGGUGUGGGUAACUUGGAUUUUUGUCCUGGGUGAUGGUUACAUGGCUGUUUCACUCUGUUAUAAUUCAUUGAAUUUAUAAUUUGUGUACUUCCUCCAUUUAAUAGAAAGCAGAUAAGGAAAAUGUAAUAAAUGUCACAGAAAAGAUAGGAUAAAUAGAAAGCGUAAUAAAAGAUGGUAGAGAUAAAUCCAAAUGCAUCAGUAAUCAUACUGAAUGUAAAUGAAUUACACUUAUUGAAACAAAGACAGAUCGUCUGUUGUAGCAUGUUUUCAAGAUGGCUGAUGUUAGUUCCUUCCCUCCACAUGUGCACCACCCCCAUCUAGUGGUGGACUUUAUUCCUCUGUUCAUACCAAAUAUGGGCUGGCCUUAGUGACUUGUUUGGUGAAAUGUGGCAGAGAUAACAUUCUGGGACUUUCAAGGACAGGUCAUGAAAAGUUUUGCAGCUUCCAUCUAGGCCUCUUUGAACAUUCUCUUUUGGAUUGCCGUGCUAUGGAACAUUUAGUCUGGGAACCUAGCUGCCAUGCUGUGAGGUGUCCAAGCCAGAUGGAGAGGCUCAGCUGAGCUCCUAGCCAACAGGUAGCAUCACCUUUCAGCUAUGUGAGUGAGUAAAGGAAUCAUCUUGGACAUUCCAGUUCCAGUAGGCAUCAUAUGGAGAAAAGCCCAGGCCCUAGGCAUAUGGCUCCCAGUCUAGUUAUCCUCAAUCAAUGGAGCCACCUUACCUGAGGCCCCAGAUGUUAUAGAGCAGACACGAGCUGUUCCUGCUAUACCCUGUCUGAAUCAGAAUUAUCAGGAGGAACUAUACUGCAGUAGCUGUACCUGAGGAACUGCAUCUGAGGAGCCUCAACCACAUCUGGACCUGAUUUAGAUAUCGAGAUUCUGGACAUCAAGCUGAUGCCAUAAUGAAAUGAGACUUUUGAAGGUCUUAGAAGAGGAAUCUAAGCUGUACAAGGGCAGGGAUUUUUGUUCUGCUAUAACCACCCAAAACAGCCCCUAAUACACAAGGCUGAAGAGGAGAUACAAGAGAUCUGACAGAAAAAACUAAAUGAAACCCCAGAGGGCCAGAGAGACUUGACAGAAAUGGCAGAUAACAAACUUGGUUUGGGCUUGAAAUGUGAUCUGGCACUCAAAGGAAAGCCAGUGCUAUUCUGGGCAGCUAACAAAGAAGAAUUGUGCCACGGCAUAGGGAGUUGGCAAGAGCCCACUGGGAGUAUUACAUUUAGCACAGUGUCAGCAUGAUAGAAACAGAAGGUGGUGAGCUCUGAGAGCAACUGUAGUGCUGAGGGGGAUAAAUACAUGAAUUUAUGAAGAUCAGUUAACAAAUUCAAGCAUGCAGGUUUGACUGAAUUCCAACUAUAAGAUCCAGGAGAGACACUCCCAAAUAUUUGAAGGGUGUUAACAUUGGAAGAAGAGAGGAAUUAUUUAGCCUGGACUACAGAACUUUGUAAGAAGGUGAAACCAAGGGCAGGGCAAAUUUAUACCUCUCUAAAAGAAUGCCUUGAUGUAGUUUUUGGGUGAUUCGGGUGCCUUCAUCCCCCAGGACUUUUUGUAGUAUGAAGCCGUAAGGCCAAAAUGAAAGAUUUGAGAGUUCUUUCUCUGGAGAAAUGGUUGAGAAAUAUUUUGGUCUUGUGAAUAAAGAGUUUUUGUCCCAGAGACAGAUUGUGAAGGAUUGAUUUAAUAUUUAUUAGCCAUGCACGGUAUAUUAAGCACUGUAUACAACACAGUACAUAGUUCUUGAGGUUCUGAAAUAAAACAACUGGUCAUUAUACACUUUAUGCAUUCUCAGUGUGUUUCAAUAGUUUAGAAACUUUGGCAAAUUUCUUAAGACUUUCCCUUUGGAAUAGAAUGAUGGAGGAAUUCGGCCAAAUGUAAAUGUAAAACAGCAACAACAACAACAGAUGAAAUCCUGUUGAAACGAAUGUUUCCUUUCACAAGAUGGCAAAACAUAUAUCCUUGAGUCGGGAGUUUCCUCAGUGAUGGGGAUGAAGAAGCCUUGAGCUGAUAACAUGAUAACAUGUUUGUUCUUCAGGAUAUUUUAAAUGCCAGAUAGAGAUGCUAUAUUGUCUUCAUUGCUGGCCAGGUCUCUGUUAUUUCUCAGUUCAAGAUAGGUCAAGGGAAAAUUCGUUGAUUCACUUAGAGACAGUUCUGUUUCCUGAGGCAAAGGUACUUGAAUUUUCAAGUGAAAUGGCCAAAAAGCCCACAGUAUACUUAGAUUUUUUAAAAAAGCUUAUAUCUCUUCUUUUACAUCUGGGCUUCUUGAUUUCCAUCUGUUUGUCUACAGAAGCCAUCAUGCGAUUUUAAAGAUAAUGUUGGGUAUGAAGAAUGUGGAGUCAGGUUCUGUUUAAAUAGGCAAUUGAGUCUUUCCUCAAUUAACUAAAUUAUCUUAUGCUCCCUGUGUCAGUGUGGAUCCUCCAAGACAGACUUAGAGGCAUAAGGUUUAUUGAACCACAAACAAUCAGUUGGGAGGGAGCCGGGAGUAGGCAGGUAGAGCUUUUUGAAUAUGGUGCAAGUCUAAUACCUCUGAAGGAAGACUGGGAAGAAAAGGCUGGGUAGGAAAUCUUGCAGACCACAGCAUAGUUGAGAAAAUCCCAGCCAUGCAGAUGUAGAGUCCCUAAGCAAAAGCUGCUUGUUAGCAGAAUCCCAUAUGGGGCAGGUGGGCAGGCACUACUACCCCUGCCUUGCUCAGUCACUGGCUGGGAGCAGCUUAGGCAAAGAGUGCUUUCAGUGUUCAUGGGGUUGGUGGCUAGAGGCUAAACUGUGGUCCAUACAAUAGGUUCUCUUGAAGCAGAUCUGAGCGACACAUCUUCUUGGCUACUACACUUCCCUAGCAAGCUUAUUUAUUCAUUUCAUGACAAGGUUCACAAAGUUUUCAUGUGUCUUGCCAUAUAACAUUUACGACAGCAUAAUAAAUACUAGGGAAGAUAGAAAUAAAAGUAGAAACUCAAAGAAAUAACUAUUACUAUUCCUCUAGAUAAACAGAAGUUUUCUGGGGUAUUUUUCAAGGAGGAUUCACCCUGAAAAUACUGAGCGAUAAUGACUUCAUUGUCUAUAAUACUCGUGCAAUAAAUAUAUUUAGUUGUUUUAUUUUCUAAUGGCUCUUUUAUGUAGUGUGUUUUGAGAAAACCCAAGGGUUUAACAUUAUAACACAACUCAUUGAUGAUAAGUAUGUGGAAGCUAAGAUUAUAUGUAACAGUCAGGUAGCUGACAGUCUGUAUGGUUGGAAUAGAGAAUAGAUCUCUGAAUUUUCAGAGAAGGAAAUGGACUGAACAGCAUUUAAAUAAUCUUGCAUAAAUAUGACUUCUAUCAAACAAAUUUUGUGUUAUUCUUUUUUUAAGAGACAGGUCUUGCUGUGUUGCCAUGGCUGGACUUAAACUUCUGGGCUCAAGUGAUCCUUCCGCCUCAUGCUCUUGAGUAGCUGGGACUACAGGCAUGUGCCACUGUGCCCAGCUUAUAAAACAAAAUUUUGGUAAAAAGCUUGAAACGAUAGACUAUUCAAAAUUAUAUUCCUUAGAAUAGAAAGCCUAUUAACAGACCCAAAAGUUAUGUAAUAUAAGAUAAAGGUGGCAUUUUAAAUCCAUGGUGGUGGGUAAGAUUGUGGAAGAUGAUGGAUUAUUUAAUAAAUGGUGUAGAGAAAUUUGGGUAGCCAAUAUGGAAAAUAAACUUGUCUUCAUACCUCACAUUUUAUAUCAGGAUAAAUUCCAAAUGGAUCAAAUAUUAAAUGUAAGAAGUGGAACUAUGGUCCUAGUAAAGUACUAAAACGAACCAUGGAAGAAUUAAAAAACAUAAUUUUGUAUAGUAUAGUGUGAUAAAAUAUUCCAGAAGCCACGAAAGAAUAGACUGUAUUUUUUUUUUUAAUUUCAGUAAGUUUUGGGGGGACAGGUGGUGUUUGGUUACAUGGAUAAGUUCUUUAGUGGUGAUUUCUGAGAUUUUGGUACACCCAUCACCUGAGCCAGACUGUAAAUUCGACGAUAUAAUUUUUUUUUUUUUUAAUUUGGGGGUAGGGGAUGGUGGCAUGGCAAAAACUACUAUAAGCAAAGUUAAAAGACAAGUGAGAAACUGGGGAAAAUAUUUGCAACUCACAAAGGGCUGAUUUCCCUAAUAUAUAAAGAACUCUAAAAAUCAGUGAGAAAAAGAAGAAUAAUCCAGUAGAAAUAAUGGGCAAAGAAUGUGAACAGAUAGUUCAGAAGAAAUGAAAUACAAAUGUCACUUAAACUUAUGAAAAUAAACACAAGCUGGGCACAGUGGCUCACACCUGUAAUCCCAGCACUUUGGAGGCCAAGGCAGGCCGAUCACUUGAGGUCAGGAGUUCAAGACCAGCCUGGGCAACAUGUUGAAACCUGUCUCUACUAAAAAUAUAAAAAUUAGCCAGGCCUGGUGGUGCCCACCUGUAAUCCCAGCUACAUAGGAGGCUCAGGCAAUCCCUUGAACCCAGGAGGCAGAGGUUGCAGUGAGCCAAGAUCACGCCACUGCACUCCAGCCUGGGCAACAGAGUGAGAUUCCGUCGCAAAAGAAAAAAGAAAAUAAUCACUGUCUAACUCUUGAUUAGAGGAAUGCACAUAAAAACUACCCAGAGAUACUAUUUUGAUGUCUCAGAUUGGCAAGUACCUGGAAAUUUGGUAAUAAACUCUAUUAUAAUAUGUGGGGAAGCAGACGCACAUUGGCAAUUACUUAUCUGCUGUCUUACUACAAUAGAUUUGUUUGCAUUUUCUAGAACCUUAAACAUACAAUAUGAACUCUUAUCUGGCUUCUUUCACUCAGCAAAAUUAUUUUGAGAUUCAUUCAUGUUACAGCAUGUAUCAAUAGUUGAUUCCUUUAUAACUGAAUGGAUAUACUGCAAUUUGUUAUCAGGUUUACUGUUAAUGGACAUUUGGGUGGUUUUCAAUAUGGGGCUAUUACAAAUAAAGCUGUUAUAAACAUCUGUGAACAAGUCUUUGUAUAUACAUAUGCUUUCUUUUUUUUUUUUUUAGGUAAAUACAAAGGAGUGUGAUAGCUGGGGUCUUUUGGCAGAUUUAUGUUUAGCUUUUAUUUAAAACUGCAAACUGGUUUUUAAAUUGGUUGUAUUGUUUUAUAUUCAUGACAAUAGUAUGUGAGAAUUCCCAUUUCUCCACAUUUUAGUCGUUCUAAUGGGUGUGUAGUGGUUUUUGUGUUUAAUUUGCAAUUCCAUAAUGUCUGAUGAUAAAUCCAUGUGCUUUUAUUUUUAUUUAUCUUUGUAAAAGUAUGGGUGUCUUUUUGCCUAAUUUUUAAUUGGGUUGUUGUCUUUUUGUUAAGUUGUAAGUGUUCUUUAUAUGUUCUAAAUAUAUAAAUACAUUGCCACAUAAUAUAUUUUGUAAAUAUUUUCUACCAGUCUGUUUGGCACAGUGUCUUUUUAUCACCGUUUGUUUGUUUGUUUGUUUGUUUGUUUGAGAUAGAGUCUUCUUCUGUCGCCUAGGCUGGAGUGCAAUGGCACGGUCUGCAACCUCUGCCUCCCAGGUUCAAGCAAUUCUCCUGCGUCAGCUUCCUAAGUAGCUGGGAUUACAGGUGCAUGUCACCACGCAUAGCUAAUUUUUGUAUUUUUAGUAGAGAUGCGGUUUCACCAUGUUGGCCAGGUUGGUCUCGAACUCCUGACCUCAAGUGACCCACCGCCCAUCCCAAGGUCCUGGGAUUACAGGCGUGAGCCACCACGUCUGGCCUUAAAACAGUUUUAAAAAAUUUGAGAUAUAAAUAAUAUGCCAUAAAAUCUUCCUUUUUGAAGUUCAGUGGUUUGUAGUAUAUUCACAAGGUUGUACAACCAUCAGCAUCAUCUGAUUCCAGAACAUUUUUACCAUCCCCUAAAUAAAUUCCCCUACCCAUUAGUGGUGGUAUUUUCCUCCCCUCAACCCCUGGCAACCACUAACCUACUUUCUGUCUCUCGAUUUGCUGAUUCUGGACUUUCAUAUAAAUGGAAUCAUACAAUGUAUGAUCUUUUGUGUCUAGCUUCUUUGACUUAGCACGUAUCAUUACUUCAUUCCUUUUUAUUGCCAAGUAAUGUUACAUUGUAUGGAUAUACAUUUUGUUUAUCCAGUCAUCAAUUGAUGCACAUUUGUAAAAUACAACGAAUGUCUGUAUCUUAACCUUGAAUCCUACAACCAAGCUAGACUCAUAUUAGCUCUAGUGCAGUUUUUUUGUAAAUUCCAUAGGUUUUCUACAUAGAUAAUUGUUUCACCUGUAAAUAAAGACAAUUUUACUUUUUUCUUUCCAAUUUGAUCCCUUUUAUUUCCUUUUUUUUAUUGCACUGAUUAGAACUUGCCAUAUGGUGUUAAAUAAAAAUACACAGAAGAUUCUUGUUCUCAAUGUUAAGAAGAAAGCAUUCAGUUUUUCAUCCUUAAGUAUAAUGUUAACUGUAAUUUGUUGUAGAUGUUCUAUAUCAAGUAAAAGCGUUCUGUUCUAGUCUUAGUUUUCCAACAAUUUUUAUCAGGAAUGGAUGGUGGACUUUGGAAAUACUUUUUCUGCACCUAUUGAGAUGACCGUAUGGUUUUUCUUUUUUAGUUUGUUGAUACAGUAAGUUAUAUUGAUUGAUUUUCAUAUGCCAGACCAAUCUUGCAUUAUGAGAUAAACCCCACUUGGUUGUGAUGUUAUUCUUUUCAUAUAUUGCUGGAAUAGAUUUUCUAAAAAUUUGUUAAGAACUUUUACAUCUGUGUUAGCGAGAAACAUUAGUCUGUGGUUUUCUUCUCUUACUGUGUCUUUCUAUGGUUUUGGUAUGUGGGUAAUGCAAGCCUUGUAGGAUGGGUUAGAAAGUAUUUCUCCUUCAGUUUUCUGGGAGCGUUUGUAUGGAAUUUGUAUUCUUUCUUUGGUUUUUUUAUUUUGUUUUGUUUUGGUUUUGUUUUUGUUUUUUCCAGACGGAGUCUCACUCUUUUGCCCAGGCUGGAGUGCAGUGGCAUGAUCUCGGCUCACGUUAACCUCCACCUCCCAGGUUCAAGCGAUCCUCCUGCCUCAGCUCUGCUAGUAGGUGGGAUUACAGGCACACACCACCAUGCCCACCUAAUUUUUGUAUUUUUAGUAGAGAUGGGGUUUUGCCAUGUUGGCUAGGCUGGUCUCAAACUCCUGACCUCAGGUGAUCCGCCCGCCUUGGUCCCCCAAAGUGCUGGGAUUACAGGCUAUUUCUUCUUUAAAUAUUCGGAAUUCACCAAGUAAACCUUCUGGGCCAGGUCUUGUGUGUGUGUGUAUAGGAAGGUAAGGUUUUUUGUUUGUUUGUUUGUUGUUGUUGUUGUUGUUGUUUGAGAUGGAAUCUUGCCCUGUUACCCAGGCUGGAGUCCAGUGGCACGAUCUUGGCUCACUGCAACCUCUUCCUCCUGGGUUCAAGUGAUUCUCCUGUCUCGGCCUCCUGAGUAGCUGGGAUUACAGGCGCCUGCCACCAUGUCUGGCUAAUUUUUGUAUUUUUAGUAGAGAUGUGGUGUUGCCAUGUUGGCCAGGCUGGUCUCGAACUCCUGACCUCAGGUGAUCUGCCCGCCUCGGUCUCCCAAAGUGCUGGGAUUACAGGCAUGAGCCACCACACCCAGCCAGAUAAGGUUUUAUAAACCACAAAUUUAAUAUCUUUAGUAAAUAUUUCUAUAUAUUCUAUCUUUAUAGAGCUAUUUAGAUUUACUCUUGAAUGACCUUUGUGCCUUUCAAAGUAUUUGUUGAAUGUCUUAGCAAAAAAGCUGUUCAUAAUUUUUCUUUUUUCUUUUUUUUUUUUGAGACAGGGUCUCACUCUGUUGCCCAGGCUGGCAUGCAGUGGCAUGAUCUCUGCUUACUGCAGCCUCUGCCUCCUGGGCUCAAGCCAUCCUCCCACUUCACCCUCCCGAGUAGCUGGGGCUAUAGGCAUGCAUCACCAUGCCAGGCUAAUUUUGUAUUUUUUUAGGGGUGGGGUUUUGCCAGGUUGCUCAGGCUGAUCUCAAACUCCUGAGCUUGAGCUCAAGUGAUCCACCUGCUUCAGCCUCCCAAAAUGCUGGGAUUACAGGUGUGAGCCACCAUGCCUGGCCUAUUUUCUUAUUUUUAUUUUAAAAUUUUAGAAUUCUAGUGAGGUCACCUUUGUCAUUCUUGAUAUUAUUCAUUUGGAUCUUCUCUCUUUUUCUCCUGAUCAGUCUGACUAAAUGUUUAUGUAUUUCAUUGAUCUUCUCAAAGAACACCCUUUGGUUCCAUUGAUUUUCUCUAUUGCUUUUCUCUUUUUUAUUUUAAAAUUUCUGCUGUGGAAAAAAAUCUUCUGUUUGCUUAUGGUUUGUUGAUUCUUUUUCUAGCUUCUUAAGGUGGAAACUGAGGUUUUUUAUCUGAGACUUUUCUUCUUUUCUAAUAGAGGUAUUUUGUACUAUAAAUUUCCCUCUAAGUGCUGCUUUAGGUGCAUUCCACACAUUUUGAUUUGCUGUGUUUUUAGUCUGCUUAAAAUAUUUUUAAAUUCUUUUGUUUGUUCCUUUUACUCCUGGGUAAUAUAGAAGUAUUGUAUAUAAUUUCAAAAUAUUUGAGGGAUUUUCCAGACAUGUUUCUGUUUCCUAAUUUAAUUUCAUUGUGUUCAGAGAACGUACUUUGUAUGACUUGAAUUCUUUUAAAUUUAGUUAAAUUCAUUUUAUGGCCCAGAAUAUACUUUAUAUUGUUAAAUGUUCUGUGUACCCUCAAAAAGAAUAUGUUUUCUGCUCUUGUUGGGUUGAGUGUUCUAUGAAUGUCAAUUAGGUCAAGUUGGUUGUUAGUGUUGUUGAAGUCUUCUGUAUCUUUCCUGCUUUUUCUAUUUGUCCUAUCAAUAAGAGAAAGGUGUUGAAAUUUGUAGCUAGAAUUGUGGGUUUGUCUGUUCCUCUUAGCAGUUUUGUCAGUGUUUGCUUCAUGUAUUUGAAACUUAGUUACCAGAUACAUAACAUUUACGAUUAUCUCCUUUUGAUGAAUUGACUUCUUUAUGAUUAUGAAAUGAUAUCCUUUAGUCCUGGUAAUAUUCUUUGUUCUGAAAUAUACUUUACUUGAUAUUAAUAUAGCCCUUUUAGCUUUUUUUUUUUUUUGACAGAGUCUCACUCUCUCACCCAGGUUGGAGUGCAACGGCGCAAUCUCAGCCCACUGCAACCUCUGCCUCCCAGGUUCAAGAGAUUCUCCUGCCUCAGACUCUCGAGUAGCUGGGAUUACAGGCACCUGCCAUUGUGCCUGGCUAGUUUUUGUAUUUUUGUAGAGUCGGGAUUUCACCAUGUUGGCAAGGAAGGUCUUGAACUCCCGACCUUAGAUGAUCCGCCCGCCUUGGUAUCCCAAAGUGCUGGGAUUACAGGCAUGAGCCACCGUGCCUGGCCCAGCUUUCUUUUGAUUAAUAUUAGCAUAGUAUAUAUUUUUCCAUUCUUUUUCUUUCAGAAUGAUUUUAUCUUUAUAUGUAAAGUAGAUGUCUUAUAGGCAGCAUAUAGGUAGGUCUUGUUUUUAUCCAGUCUGACAAUCUCUGCCUUUUAAUUGGGAUGUUUAGACCAUUUACAUUUGAUGUGAUUAUUCAUAUGGAUGAGUGUAAAUCUGCCAUUUUGCUGUUUGUUUUCUAUUUGUCCCACCUCUUCUUUGUUCUCCUUUUCUUCUUCUGUUUCUUUUGGAUUAAUUAAGCAUAUUGUAAUCAUUCAGUUUUACCUCCAUAUUGGCUUAUUACUUUUUUUGUUUUGUUUUGAGACAGAGUCUCGCUCUGUCGGAGUGCAGUGGCGUGAUCUUGGCUCACUGCAACCUCUGCCUCCCGGGUUCAUGCCAUUCUCCUGCCUCAGCCUCCCAAGUAGCUGGGACUACAGGUGCCUGCCACUACGCCCAGAUAAUUUUUUGUAUUUUUAGUAGAGACGGGGUUUCACCGUGUUAGCCAAGAUGGUCUCAAUCUCCUGACCUCGUGACCCGCCCGCCUCAGCGUCCCAAAGUGCUGGGAUUACAGGCAUGAGCCACUGUGCCUGGCCUGGCUUAUUACUUCUAACUCUGUUUCCUUUUUUGUAACUGUUUUAGGGUUUGUGGUGUAAAUAGUGUACAUCUUUAACUUAUCAGACACCUCCUUCAUGUGAUAUUACGGCACUUCACAUAUAGUACGUCAAUCUUGUAAUAGUAUACUUCCAUUUCUCCCCACUCAGCCUUCACGUUAUUAUUGUCAUACAUUUUAGUUCUGCACAUAACUCCACAGUACCUUAUUUAUUUUUCUAUACAAACUUUCAAGGUUAUCUAAAUAAUUGUAAAAAAUGUUUGUAUUUACCAUUUUUGGUACUUUUCAUUCUUUGGUGUAGAUCUAUCUUUCCGUGUGGUAUAAUUUUCCUUGUGCCUGAGGGACUUCCUUUAAUGUUUCUUGUACUGCAAGCCUGGUAGUGAUGCUUUUUUUCAGCUUUUAUACAUCUGGGAAAGUCUGUAUUUUGCCUUUGUUUUUGAAGGAUAUUUUUACUGGGUAUACAAUAUUAGGUUAACAUGGUUUUUUUGUUUCGGUUUUUAAAGAUGUUUCAUUGCUUUAUUGUCACUUGCAUGGCUUCCUAUGAGAAGUCUGUUGUUAACCAUACUUUUUUUCAUUUGCACAUAAUGUGGGGUUUUUUCCCCUCUCGAUGUUUUUAAGUUUUCUUUGUCACUAGAUUUGAGCAAUUUGAUUGUGAUGUUCCUUGGUGUAAUUUUGUUUAUACCUUUGUGCUUGGGGUUUGUUGAGUCUUUUGGAUUAAUGGGUUUGUAGUUUUCAUGAAAUUUAGAAAACUUUCAGCCAUUAUUCUAUUUCUAUACCCCUUUUCUUACCUUUCCUUUGGAGAUUCCAUUUAUAUGUAAUUAGAUCAGUUGAAGUUGCCCUCCAGUUCAUGAAUGUUCUGGGUUUGUUUUAUUUUGUUUUGUUUUUUCUUUUUCUUUUUCUUUUUUUUUCCGAGACUGAGUCUCGCUGUGUUGCCUAGGCUGGAGUGCAGUGGUGCAACCUCCACCUCCUGGGUUCAAGCGAUUCUCCUGCCUCAGCCUCCCGAAUAGCUGGGACUACAGGCACGUGCCACUACGCCUGGCUAAUUUUGUAUUUUUAAUAGAGGCAGGAUUUCACCAUGUUGGCUAGGUUGGCCUUGAACUCUUGACUUAACGUGAUCCGCCCGUCUCGGCCUCACAAAGUGCUGGGUUUACAGGUGUGAGCCACCUCGCCUGGUUUAAGUUUUUUAAAUGUGAUUUUUAAAUGACUCCAUAA